GAGUUUGAUCAUGGCUCAGGACGAACGCUGGCGGCGUGCCUAAUACAUGCAAGUAGAACGCUGAAGAGAGGAGCUUGCUCUUCUUGGAUGAGUUGCGAACGGGUGAGUAACGCGUAGGUAACCUGCCUUGUAGCGGGGGAUAACUAUUGGAAACGAUAGCUAAUACCGCAUAACAAUAGGUGACACAUGUCAUUUAUUUGAAAGGGGCAAUUGCUCCACUACAAGAUGGACCUGCGUUGUAUUAGCUAGUAGGUGAGGUAACGGCUCACCUAGGCGACGAUACAUAGCCGACCUGAGAGGGUGAUCGGCCACACUGGGACUGAGACACGGCCCAGACUCCUACGGGAGGCAGCAGUAGGGGAUCUUCGGCAAUGGGGGCAACCCUGACCGAGCAACGCCGCGUGAGUGAAGAAGGUUUUCGGAUCGUAAAGCUCUGUUGUAAGUCAAGAACGAGUGUGAGAGUGGAAAGUUCACACUGUGACGGUAGCUUACCAGAAAGGGACGGCUAACUACGUGCCAGCAGCCGCGGUAAUACGUAGGUCCCGAGCGUUGUCCGGAUUUAUUGGGCGUAAAGCGAGCGCAGGCGGUUUGAUAAGUCUGAAGUUAAAGGCUGUGGCUCAACCAUAGUUCGCUUUGGAAACUGUCAAACUUGAGUGCAGAAGGGGAGAGUGGAAUUCCAUGUGUAGCGGUGAAAUGCGUAGAUAUAUGGAGGAACACCGGUGGCGAAAGCGGCUCUCUGGUCUGUAACUGACGCUGAGGCUCGAAAGCGUGGGGAGCGAACAGGAUUAGAUACCCUGGUAGUCCACGCCGUAAACGAUGAGUGCUAGGUGUUGGAUCCUUUCCGGGAUUCAGUGCCGCAGCUAACGCAUUAAGCACUCCGCCUGGGGAGUACGACCGCAAGGUUGGAACUCAAAGGAAUUGACGGGGGCCCGCACAAGCGGUGGAGCAUGUGGUUUAAUUCGAAGCAACGCGAAGAACCUUACCAGGUCUUGACAUCCCGAUGCUAUUUCUAGAGAUAGAAAGUUACUUCGGUACAUCGGUGACAGGUGGUGCAUGGUUGUCGUCAGCUCGUGUCGUGAGAUGUUGGGUUAAGUCCCGCAACGAGCGCAACCCCUAUUGUUAGUUGCCAUCAUUCAGUUGGGCACUCUAGCGAGACUGCCGGUAAUAAACCGGAGGAAGGUGGGGAUGACGUCAAAUCAUCAUGCCCCUUAUGACCUGGGCUACACACGUGCUACAAUGGCUGGUACAACGAGUUGCGAGUCGGUGACGGCAAGCUAAUCUCUUAAAGCCAAUCUCAGUUCGGAUUGUAGGCUGCAACUCGCCUACAUGAAGUCGGAAUCGCUAGUAAUCGCGGAUCAGCACGCCGCGGUGAAUACGUUCCCGGGCCUUGUACACACCGCCCGUC
rnacentral:rRNA from 1 species